rnacentral:rRNA from 1 species
UACGAAGGGGGCUAGCGUUGCUCGGAAUCACUGGGCGUAAAGCGCACGUAGGCGGACUCUUAAGUCGGUGGUGAAAUCCUGGAGCUCAACUCCAGAACUGCCUUUGAUACUGAGGAUCUUGAGUUCGGGAGAGGUGAGUGGAACUGCGAGUGUAGAGGUGAAAUUCGUAGAUAUUCGGAAGAACACCAGUGGCGAAGGCGACACACUGGCCCGUUACUGACGCUGAGACGCGAAAGCGUGGGGAGGCAAACAGG